rnacentral:rRNA from 1 species
UACGUAGGGUGCGAGCGUUGCCCGGAUUUAUUGGGCGUAAAGGGCGCGUAGGCGGCUCGGCACGUCCGUUGUGAAAUCGCCCGGCUCAACUGGGCGGGGUCAGCGGAUACGGUCGAGCUUGAGCAAGCUAGGGGGUAAUGGAAUUCCCGGUGUAGUGGUGGAAUGCGUAGAUAUCGGGGAGGAACACCAGUGGCGAAGGCGGUUACCUGGGGCUUUGGCUGACGCUGAUGCGCGAAAGCGUGGGGAGCGAGUCCGG